UACGGAGGGGGCUAGCGUUGUUCGGAAUUACUGGGCGUAAAGCGCGCGUAGGCGGACCUGCAAGUCGGGGGUGAAAGCCCGAGGCUCAACCUCGGAACUGCCUUCGAUACUGCGGUCUCGAGUCCGGGAGAGGUGAGUGGGAAUUCCGUAGUGUUAGAGGUGAAAUUCGAUGAGAUAGUUAGGAAGAACACCAGUGGCGAAGGCGGCUCACUGGCCCG
rnacentral:rRNA from 1 species